rnacentral:tRNA from 1 species
GUUUUUAUAGUUUAAAAAAAACAUUGAUCUUGUAAAUCAAAAUUAAAAUAAAUAUUUUAAAAACU